CGCGCGCUCCGCCCGCGCCGCGCGUUCUCGACAGCCCGAAGUCCAAGAAUGCUAGUCUCGUGUACAAACUGGCCUGCGCGCGCACACGCGCGACGCGCCUCCUCACACACCAGUGAAUAUUUGACGAGGAAAUGAAGGUACCUGCUUUCUCUUCACCUUUCCUGGAAUUGUUAGAAAAUGAUACAGGUAGGAGCAGUGAAUUAGCAGUAAGAAAAUGGAGUCAUGGGUAACAGCAAAGGGCUUUGCAGAGGUUCUGCUUCCUCCGACGCAGUCAUCCACGUGGAGCCAGGAAUUCCUGGGACGAUCACUCCAUUUUCACCCAUUAGCUGCUUCCUAGUAGAAAUUUCAGCAGCAUUGAUUACCUUUGACUCAAAUGAAGAAUUGUUUAUCUGGAUAACCUCAGAACAGACAAGGCAAAACUGAUGCCCAAAUAUCCAGUGAUAAAGCAUUCAUGAAACGCCCAUCUGGGCCAAACCUCAUCAUGCAAUCAGCACCUAGGAGAAAAGCUUAAGAAUCAAAUCAACAUUUAAAUGUAUCAUGUUUUCAGGAAGAGUCACUGACUAUAGGAGGAAGCCAGCUACACAUCGUGAGGACACUCUCAAGAUGCCCCAUGGAGAGGCCUGUGGAGUGAGAAACUGAAGCUUCCCACCAACAGCCACAUGCUUUCCAUGGGGCAUGACAAUCCAUAAGCAUUUACUAAAGUCACUAAUGAAUUAACUGAUCAGGAAUUUCCCAUGUCAUUUCACACUGUGUUCAUGUAUGAUAGAAAUAAAGGAUCCAGACAAUGACCUGAAGAAUAUACACCAAAAAGAAAGAAGAAACGAAAGAACGAUGAACUCAAAAUGGUCAGAUCAACUGAGGUGAUCCCAUUUGAAGGAGACAUCAGAUCUCAGCCCUUUGGAGUCUAAGAAUUACACCAGCAGCCCUCUUGUUUUUCCAGACUGCAGAUGGCGUAUCUCACGGACUCUCAGCCUUCAUAACUC